UACGUAGGGUGCGAGCGUUAAUCGGAAUUACUGGGCGUAAAGCGUGCGCAGGCGGUUCGUUGUGUCUGAUGUGAAAGCCCCGGGCUCAACCUGGGAAUGGCAUUGGAAACUGGCGAGCUAGAGUGUGGCAGAGGCGAGUGGAAUUCCUGGUGUAGCGGUGAAAUGCGCAGAUAUCAGGAGGAACACCAAUGGCGAAGGCAGCUCGCUGGAACGGUACUGACGCUGAGACGCGAAAGCGUGGGGAGCAAACAGG
rnacentral:rRNA from 1 species